rnacentral:rRNA from 1 species
GUUUCCUACGGGGGGCAGCAGUAGGGAAUCUUCCACAAUGGGCGAAAGCCUGAUGGAGCAACGCCGCGUGGGUGAAGAAGGUCUUCGGAUUGUAAACUCCUUUUGUGAGAGAAGAUAAUGACGGUAUCUCACGAAUAAGCACCGGCUAACUCCGUGCCAGCAGCCGCGGUAAUACGGAGGGUGCAAGCGUUACUCGGAAUCACUGGGCGUAAAGAGUGCGCAGGCGGGCUUGUAAGUCAGAUGUGAAAUCCUGUAGCUUAACUACAGAACUGCAUUUGAAACUAUGAGUCUAGAGUGUGGGAGAG